rnacentral:rRNA from 1 species
GAUGAACGCUGGCGGCGUGCCUAAUACAUGCAAGUCGAGCGAACGGACGAGAAGCUUGCUUCUCUGAUGUUAGCGGCGGGCGGGUGAGUAACACGUGGAUAACCUACCUAUAAGACUGGGAUAACUUCGGGAAACCGUAGCUAAUACCGGAUAAUAUUUUGAACCGCAUGGUUCAAAAGUGAAAGACGGUCUUGCUGUCCCUUAUAGAUAGAUCCGCGCUGCAUUAGCUAGUUGGUAAGGUAACGGCUUACCAAGGCAACGAUGCAUAGCCAACCUGAGAGGGUGAUCGGCCACACUGGAACUGAGACACGGUCCAGACUCCUACGGGAGGAAGCAGUAGGGAAUCUUCCGCAAUGGGCGAAAGCCUGACGGAGCAACGCGGCGUGAGUGAGGAAGGUCUUCGGAUCGUAAAACCCUGUUAUUAGGGAAGAACAUAUGUGUAAGUAACUGUGCACAUCUUGACGGUACCUAAUCAGAAAGCCACGGCUAACUACGUG